rnacentral:rRNA from 1 species
UAUCAUAUUGCGUGAGUGAUGAAGGCUAUUUUGGUCGUAAAGCUCUUUGAUGAAUCGAAGAUAAUGACAAAGGUUCAAAAACAAGUCCCGGCAAACUCUGUGCCAGCAGCCGCGGUAAGACAGGGGGGGCAAGCGUUAUUCAGAAUGACUGGGCGUAAAGGACACGUAGGUGGUAUUCGUAGUUAUUCAAGUGAAAGCCCAAAUUUUUUUGGAAGAGCUUAUAAAACCAGAAUACUGGAGUUUGAGAGAGGAGGGUAGAAUUUCUAGUGGAAGGGUAAAAUCUGAAGAUAUUAGAAGGAAUACCAAAAGCGAAGGCAGCCCUCUGGCUCAAAACUGACACUGAGGUGUGAAGGCAUGGGGAGCAACCGGGAUUAGAUACCCCGUUAGUCCAUGCUGUCAACGAUGUUGGCUUCUUCUUGGAUGCAUCCAUUCAGGGAGUCCGCAAACGCUCGAAGCCAACCGUCUGGGGAGUACGAUCGCAAGAUUAAAACUCAAAGGAAUUGACGGUGGCCCACAAAAGUGGUGGAGCAUGUGGUUUAAU